UCCUGAAAAAAAAAGAGGUGGUGGAAAACACAGCAGCAUACAGCUUAAGCAUACAACAUAUCUGCCCAAUACUGAGGGAAAAGGCAAAAGUCAUUAGCAUAUAUUUCACAUAGUCUACAGAAUGUACACAAGCCCUGGAAAUCAGUCCAUGCCGUUCAGGAUUUGGUCAUAUCGACCAAUCAGAAACCAGCUUUCUUGUAUCCCACCUGUGCCGUCUGUGUCAGCUUAUAUUCAAAGUCUUUGUCUCUACCCAUAGGUGACAAGGAAGGGGCCCGAGACAAUUAUAAAAGAAGAAGCGGCUACAGCAUACAGAUUUCCCUUUAAAAAA